CGAAAGCCUGACGGAGCAAUACCGCGUGAGGGAGGAAGGCUUUUGGGUUGUAAACCUCCUUUCUCAGGGAAGAAGUUCUGACGGUACCUGAGGAAAAAGCAUCGGCUAACUCCGUGCCAGCAGCCGCGGUAAGACGGAGGAUGCAAGCGUUAUCCGGAAUUAUUGGGCGUAAAGCGUCCGCAGGUGGCUUUUCAAGUCUGCAGUCAAAGACUGGAGCUUAACUCCAGGAAGGCAGUGGAAACUGAGGAGCUAGAGUUCGGUAGGGGUAGAGGGAAUUCCCAGUGUAGCGGUGAAAUGCGUAGAUAUUGGGAAGAACACCAGUGGCGAAGGCGCUCUACUGGGCCGUAACUGACGCUGAGGGACGAAAGCUAGGGGAGCG
rnacentral:rRNA from 1 species